GAUGAACGCUGGCGGCGUGCUUAACACAUGCAAGUCGAACGGAAAGGCCCUGCUUUUGUGGGGUACUCGAGUGGCGAACGGGUGAGUAACACGUGAGUAACCUGCCCUGGACUUCGGGAUAACUCCAGGAAACUUGGUCUAAUACCGGAUAGGAGCUCCUGCUGGAUGGUGGGGGUUGGAAAGGUUCGGCGGUUGGGGAUGGACUCGCGGCUUAUCAGCUUGUUGGUGGGGUGGUGGCUUACCAAGGCGUUGACGGGUAGCCGGCCUGAGAGGGUGACCGGCAACAUUGGGACUGAGAUACGGCCCAGACUCCUACGGGAGGCAGCAGUGGGGAAUAUUGCACAAUGGGCGGAAGCCUGAUGCAGCAACGCCGCGUGGGGGAUGACGGCCUUCGGGUUGUAAACCGCUUUCGCCUGUGACGAAGCGUAAGUGACGGUAAUUGGUGAAGAAGCACCGGCUAACUACGUG
rnacentral:rRNA from 1 species